UAGCAUAUCAAUAAGCGGAGGAAAAGAAACCAACAGGGAUUGCCCUAGUAACGGCGAGUGAAGCGGCAACAGCUCAAAUUUGAAAUCUGGCUCUUUCAGGGUCCGAGUUGUAAUUUGCAGAGGGUGCUUUGGCGUUGGCUGUGGUCUAAGUUCCUUGGAACAGGACGUCACAGAGGGUGAGAAUCCCGUACGUGGCCGCCAGCUUUCGCCGUGUAAAGCCCCUUCGAUGAGUCGAGUUGUUUGGGAAUGCAGCUCUAAAUGGGAGGUAAAUUUCUUCUAAAGCUAAAUAUUUGCCAGAGACCGAUAGCGCACAAGUAGAGUGAUCGAAAGAUGAAAAGCACUUUGGAAAGAGAGUCAAAAAGCACGUGAAAUUGUUGAAAGGGAAGCGCUUGCAGCUAGACGUGCCUUGGGUUGAUCAGCCGGACUUUUGCCCGGUGCACUCUUCCUUUGGCAGGCCAGCAUCAGUUUGGGCGGCUGGAUAAAGGUCUGUUAAACGUGACUUCCUUCGGGGAGAGCUUAUAGGGCAGACGACAUGCAGCCAGCCUGAACUGAGGUCCGCGCAUCUGCUAGGAUGCUGGCGUAAUAGCUGUAAGCGGCCCGUCUUGAAACACGGACCAAGGAGUCUAACAUCUAUGCGAGUGUUUGGGUGUCAAGCCCGAGCGCGCAAUGAAAGUAAACGGAGGUGGGAACCCUCGGGUGCACCAUCGACCGAUCCUGAUGUCUUCGGAUGGAUUUGAGUAAGAGCAUAGCUGUUGGGACCCGAAAGAUGGUGAACUAUGCCUGAAUAGGGUGAAGCCAGAGGAAACUCUGGUGGAGGCUCGCAGCGGUUCUGACGUGCAAAUCGAUCGUCAAA
rnacentral:rRNA from 1 species